ensembl:lncRNA
AGGUGAUGUUUGUGUAAUGCACAUGAGAAGUGUAACAUUGCAUUCCUUACCUUUCAGAUUUAUUACCUGCUUUCCCUUUGUUAAAGAAUAAACAAACAAAAGUGGAAUACCGAGUAAUAUUCUUUGUACACCGGGUUACCCCUUCCGUGGGGAGAAAACGGAACAAUGCCUACCAGGGAAAACGCCGCACCGCACUAAGAUCUACACGCUGAGGACAACACUUGUCAACCGGCUUUUUGGUACUGGCAUAAAUUAAGUGAGCGACCCUGAUGCUCACCCUGAUCCGUCAGCCCACAUGCACCAUGAACUCUCCCUUUAAUUACUGAAAAAACUCACAAAAUGAGCAACAACCGUUUUACCCUCAAGGCAAACUAACAAAGGCAAAACUAAAUCUACACUCAACUAUUGUGCAAACCGAAUGGACGAGCCCCCAUUUGUCAUGACCCGGCUCAAUGGCGAUGACAAAAACGGGAGAGACGGUGCAUUUACCAAUAGAAAACAAAGGUUUAUUUCCCUACACCACAUAACUUAACAAAACCGCCAACUUAAACCCCAAAAGGUGUGGACGCCUGCAAGGAGGGCCAAUGAGUAGCGCCCACAACAAGCAAUCAGCUGCUCUUAUAUUCGGCUGGAGCACCGGCCCCAGGUGCUCCAGAUCCAGCUGAUGGCAUCAGCUGAUCACCUUGAGGAAGGUAAGUAGUCAACAAGUAGGCGGGGUCGUCACAGUUAGUCUACAGUGAAAGUGCAGACCGCAAUUUUUGCUUUUUUGUUGCCUUUUUGGAAAACAAAAUCAACUGAGUGAGGAAGGAUUUAAAGACUGGAAUAACCUUGCAAUGCAUCUAAUCAACCAUGAAAGGUCUGAAGAGCACAGGAAAAAUACUGAUAGCUGGAAACGGCCAUCAGUAGGUUUCGAGUAGUGGUUUCCCGAAGGUCACUGCAGAUAGCUGCUGUGAGCUACUGGAAACCCUCAGGUAAAUGAUGGCAUAAGGUUUAACAGUCAGUGUAAUGUGUCAACAUAACUACUCUUAUUGUUUUAUAUGUUAUUCUCAAUUUGUAAAUAGAUAAUUAACAGUUGCAUGAAAGAAGGAUAGUGACUUUUGUUCAUCCCUUGUAUGGAGUAUCUCAUUAUGCGAUAUAAGGUACAUUAGACCGAUAGAUGCAGGGGCCCACAAAUGACUGUUCGCCUGGAGCCCACAAAGGGCUAAGUUCGCCACUGUGCAUCAGGCUAAACGGAUUAGUGUUAUUUAGCCUGUCGAAAGGCCGAUGGGCCACAGGUUAAGCCAAACUGUAUUUUGUGUUUAUGUCUGGUCUGUGACCAACUUAUAAUAUUAAUUUCAUUCUAUGUUUAAACACUGGUAAUUUUGGCCCCCUGUGUGUCUGAGUAAAUCGCCACCGGUAGAGCUCAAGGGACCUAUGAGAUCAAAAAAUAUGAAUGUGCUCAGAAGUCACUUUGUUAAAUUACGCAUUUUGAUAGCUCCUUUUAUACAAUUGCAUAUCUUUUCAGCAGGUGAAGUAAAAGUUCAAAUCAGUGUCAGCCUUAAAUAAGCACUGCUUACGUAGCCUUUUUUAAUGUUGUAGGGGGAUAGAGGUGGAAGUGGUACUCUGGAGGGAGGCCAACCUCACACAGUUAGAGGUUGGCCUCCCUAUGAGCGCGAUGCAUAUGCGGGCCAGGAGGAGCAGCUAGGGUCUCUCCUCCAGUCAACGAGACACGCUCGUUUGUCCAGGUCGUAGAGUUCAGGACCCUCCCAGACAGGGAGAAGGAGGUCCUGGACCCUUUGAUAUUGACACGUUAAAACAAUGUUAACGAGACCUCUAACAGUCGCAUACAUCACUGUCCCUGUUAAGAUUGUGACUUUAAUAGAGCAAAAGAGGGUCCAGGAGAGGCAAAUGACAGCAAAGGAUGCAUUGGCUGGCACCACAAAUACUAACGUCGUCGCUGGGGUGUCGGAUGGGAAAAGGGCAACUAAAUUCUUUGUAUUUGAAGAAUUGGCAAAGGGGAUAGAGAAGGUGGAGCAAUUACAGGGACAUCACAGUGAUGCUCACAAGACAUCAGACAGAGUCGCCUACAUCACUGCCCCUGUACAAGUCCCCGCCCACCUGGAGGCAGAGGCCCGGGACUUGGUAUGUCCCGGGUCAAUGCUAAUCAGUCUGUCGUAGCUUGGCAUCUCCCAGGGAGGCAACUUCAAACCAUUAGAGGUUGGCCUCCCCUAUAAGAGUUACACAUAUGCGGCCCAGAAGGAGCAGCUAGGGUCUCUCCUCCAGUCAACAAGACACACUUGUUUGUCCAGGUCGUAGGGUUCAGGACCCUCCCAGACGGGGAGAAGGAGGUCUAUUUUAUGUAUCAAAGAAAGAUAUUGGGAUUAUUAAAAGGCAUGAAGCACUGAACCAUGCACAAAAAGGUUAAAAUCAAGCAGUUACCAAACGUAUUAACUAUAUAUACUUUACAUCAGGGCUUCAACAUCAAAUCAAUUGUUAAAUUGGUGUUGGCAAUGAAUUUCAUUAUCCAUCCAUUAAAUGAUUUGGUGAGAUGUUUUUCACAAUGGUCACUCAUAGCCAGAGCACUUAAAAUGUACACCAGCAGCAGGUGAGGUGGGUGGGGUGGGGCGCCACUUUAGACGCCACACCGUCUCACUGAUGGGCUGAUGCAUGCUCCUAGAAAUGCAAUUCCUGAAGGUAUUGAUUGGUAUUGUUACUUUGGAGAAUUUGAAUAUUUAUUACGCUCAGUAAUAACGAUUGAUUCAGCAAUGUGGGAUGUGUCCUACUCCCACCUCCCAACAUCCUGCACAACUGGAGUUGUCUGGCUUUUUUAAAAUCCAACAAAUAUCUCCAUAGUCUUUUUCUCUAAAUAACUCAUGUCUUGGGCUACUUUCAGGUUUGUUUCACGCUGUUCAUCUGUUGUUUCAGCACACCACACUUGACCAUUGGCUGUAUUUUCAGAAAAUGUCUUUCAACAAGAGGACCAAUGAGAGGCUAGACUCAAUCAAUCGGAGUGAUGCUCACAAGACAUCAGACAGUCGCCUACAUCACUGCCCCUGUACAAGUCCCCGCCCACCUGGAGGCAGAGGCCCGGGACUUGGUAUGUCCCGGGUCAAUGCUAAUCAGUCUGUCGUAGCUUGGUAUCUCCCGGGAGGCCAACCUCACACAGUUGGCCUCCCUAUAAGCGCUAUGCAUAUGCGGGCCACAAGGACUGUUCAUCUGUUCUGUUUCAGCACACCACACUUAGCCAAUGGUUGUAUAACGCGUCACUACGUAGCGUUCAUAGCUAUGUUGACAAGCAAACCACACACAAAACCGCCCACAUUCCUAUGCGGAGAACAGCCCGAUCUGGCAACACAGACCUUGUCAUCAUCUCUGUAGCCGGCUGAGUCAAACACGCUAUGAUAUUUGCUUCGUUCAUCACCAGCCAAAUUGGCUGGCGACUUUACAAUCUUACACGCAAAAGUUAUUUUCUACCUGCAUCUGGUGGGUUGGCAGGUGUUAAUUUUAAGCUCUUGCUAUGAGUGACCAUUGUGACUGCGUGGUUCAGUGUGUUGGUAACUGUGCUUUGUGUGUUGGUAACUGCUUCGUGUCUUUUAAUACUCCCAAUAUCUUUCUUUUAUACAGAAGAUGCUGCUGCUACUGCUGCUGCCUCAGCACUACACUUCCAGACGGUCUGUCCAAAGGCUGCAUCCCACAUGGCCGGUGGAACUACGUGCUCUUUAGCACAGGGGUCCAGGACCUCCUUGUCCCUGUCUGGGAGGGUCCUGAACCCCACGGCCUGGACCCCCUUGGGGGAGGGGGGAAUUAAUUUGGCCUUUUCAAAUUGAAAUAAUAAAUGGAAAGGCAUGGCUUGGACAAUCUCUCCAAAGGCUAAUGCCUCCUUUGCUGUCAUUUAAUAACUGGAGGAGAGACCCUAGCUGCUCCUUCUGGCCCGCAUAUGCAUGGCGCUUAUAGGGAGGCCAACCUCUAGCUGUGAGGUUGGCCUCCCGGGAGAUGCCAAGGCCCGGGUCUCUGCCUCCAGGGCGUACACAAACAAGCGUGUCUUGUUGACUGGAGGAGAGUCCAUAGCUGCUACUUUGGCCCGCAUAUGCAUGGCGCUUAUAGGGAGGCCAACCUCUAGCUGUGAGGUUGGCCUCCCGGGAGAUACCAAGGCCCGGGUCUCUGCCUCCAGGUGGGGGCGGGGACUUGUACAGGGUCAGUGAUGCAUGUUUCUGUUGUAUGUUGUUUCAUGUUUUGUUGGUUUUAAUAAAUCCAGUUUUCUGACUAAACUGAAGUGUUUAUUGAUGUGUUGAUAUGAAUCGUAAAUGGUAUAUCCUCUGGAUUCAUUGCAUGUUUGUGGCUAUAAUAUCAACCCUGUAAUGCAAAGACAGGCUUCAAACAUGCUUUCAGGAAAACCUGGGCUGUCAUGAGUAUUUGUGCUGCGGUGAUAUCGUUUGAAAGUAAAAACUUAUGAUGGGACAACAAAGUCAAACGGAAAUUGAAUCUCACAAUUAUAUAUUGUUACCAAAACAAAGUUGGUGCUUUUUGGCUUAAACUCAAAGUACAAAUCUACCCAUACUAUAUACAGUAUAACUACACAAAACAGCGUAUACAAUGUACAGUAUAUUAUACUUUCAUACAAGUGAUCAAACCAAGGAUCCGCUCUCUACAAUGUCCCAUGUGGAGCAAAGGUUAUCUUAUGAAAAGGUAAGAAAGCCCUUCAGUGUCUACUACUUGACGGUACACUUGACAGUGUAGUACGGUCUACAGCUAUGCUUAGAACGCUUCAGAACAUCGCCGAAACUCCACCGGAUGUUUUGGAGAUGACGCAUCUCCCCUCAGAUGGUGGUGUCGGGUCAGCCAUCUCUUCGUUCGUUACCACACUCCGGUUGCAUUGUGGGAUAGCGUUGUGAACUCCGUUGUUUACUGUGGCGGUAGUACGCAUUCGGAAACGUUUUCCGUACUACACAAUGCGUACGGAGCAUUCGGACGCACUAUAUUUGUGGCGUACUACAAAAUGCAUACUAUAUAGCAGUCAAGUAUGAGUAUUCGGAUUCAGCCAAACAAAUAAAAUGUGCCUUCCCGUGCGUGUUUGAGAAACAGUGAGAGUUAACACUGUCCUAAAUUUUACAUAACGCAUUCUUCAUUUAGUCUGCCGGCUAAUGGUAGUAGUAGUAGUGGUAGGAGGAGCAGUAUAAAUGUUGAAUAGCUUUAUUCAAGUGAGGGAUUUGAACAGAGUUCCAAAUGUUAAAAUCGGAUUGCGUGUGUGUGUGUGUGUGUGUGUGUGUGUGUGUGUGUGUGUGCCCAAGCCGGCGUGCGUGUGUGUGUGUGCCCAAG